UAUUGUGAUGAGAGAAUAUAUCUGAACGGUGAAGAAGUGGAGCGACUCUGAGG
rnacentral:ncRNA from 18 species